rnacentral:lncRNA from 1 species
UCACAAAAACCUAGAAAUGAACUUCAUUUCAAUAAACCAAUAUCAUACAAACAUUGAAGUUGCAUUCUACUUGAUCCGUCUUGCAAAUUACUUUACAUGCAGCAACAAAAUGAGCUUGAUACACAUUAACUUCUUAUCCCAAAAGAAAAGCAAGCAUACUUAACUAACAUAAUGCACGAAAACCAUAAAUAAAAUUCAGGACGACAGCACCCUCAACUGUUUUAAAGCUUAGAUUGUUAUAAAAUCCACGGCAGGGCAUCGUCGUGUCAUAAGGGGCAAAAAAAAUGUAAAUUUUGGGCACAACUCCUCUACCUGCUUGCUUAGAAUUGUUUAAUACUUGAACAAAAGUGGAUAAGUGCACAAAAAAACACUACUAUAAGUAGAAAAUAAUGCAAGCAUUCUUCUCAUUGCUACUCGGACAGAAAUUCUGUUGUGUUCAUUCAAAGCAAAACUGGAGAUAUUUAUGUCCCACUAGCGUAAACUGCAUCCACAUGUGAAUAACUCAACUCCGACAAAAUCUUACAGGAGUGCAUAGUAUACAAAUGCUCAGUGAUUCUAAAAUCAAAAACUUGGAACAGACCCCCAAUCCUUUGCAGCUUCUAAACAACAAAAACUGGAUGUUCCCAAGAAACCAGCCCUAAACAAGAAGCAAAGUAUAAACCUGAGUGCCGAAUUGCGAAUCAAGCAAAAGCAUUAUACAAAUGUAAGUUGCGUGGUGAUGAUUUCUAGAAGAUUUUCAAAUUGUUCCAUGGAUCCUGAAAGAUUGUGUAAAGUUAACUGUGGUCUUUACAGUAUGAAAUGGGUACAGGUAAAGGCUACACAUAAGAAGUGGUUGCUUAAUAUAAGACGAACCAAAAACCAACUUAUCGAUCUUGAAGAUAUAUUCUCACUAGAACAGACUUGACAUUCUCAAGCGAAAUAAUAUAGUUGAUAGAACUGGUAGUUCAGUAGCACUACCAGCUCUAGAAAAAGGCUUCUGUCCAAUAUGAAUGUCAACAGCGUCAAAAUCUAUGCAAAUCAAAAGAUUUGUAAUGAAUCAUUCAACCUUCAAGUUCUCAAAUAUAAGAAUUAUUGUUUAAUUAAAUUGUUCCUUCUUUGUUUUUUUCUACAAAAAUUAGCAAUGUGCAAAAUGAGAAUGGAACUGGAAAGACCAGGGGGGUGAAGUUAUGAACCAAACAGAAACCUUGCUCCUCUCAAGUACAGGUGGAGAUUCCAAUUAAAUAUAACUACUUUGUUCAAUUAUUUUGUGUCUAACCCAAAAACUUAAUAUCGAUAAGCCUUGUAUAUCACUAUUGCUAGCCCUAAUUUCAUAAGAAUUCUGCUAGUCCAAGUAGCGAUAUUCCCUAAUUAAACUAAUUAAAAUGUUAAUUAUUGCACCCUAAUAUUGCCACUGGUAGUAGCGACUUUGUUCCAUUUGAAUUUUGUAUUCCUCCAAUGUCGCAACAAAGGCUUUUACAUAGUGCGCAGGCAGCCUCUUGAUUCAUCAAUCCCAUCUCUUCCAACGGGCAGAUUCCAGUUUUGGAGUUCAUUGCUUUGAUGAUUGCAGAAUUUUCUAUUCUUUGGGCUGCAUUUUCUAAUUAGUUGUCUCCAAGAAAUUUCUCAUUUGGUUCUGAUCAACAUUUUUCAAAGGAACCAUUAUAUUUUCCUUCUUUAGAUCUUUGAAUUCAAUGUCCUUAUUAGUUAUUUGCCAUUUGUAUUCAUACCCAGUUAGCUAAUUGAAUGUUCAUUUAGAUCUUAGAUUUUUUUCCAUAUAUUAAUUUGUAACAGUGAAAUCUUAGGAAGAGACUUGGUGCUAAUCUUGUUUCGAGGUAAUCAGUUGACUUUAACCUUGGUGGACAAGCCCUUGACUCCACCAUCUUAUUUACGAAACUUCCUGAUUUCAAGCAAUAUGAAAUCUAACACAUUUAACAAAAAUAAAACUCCUACAAUACUUUUACAAACUCACCUCAAAAUUAACCUAGACCUUAAAUGUAAUACCCAGUAAAAAUAAAUAAAAAUAUAUUUUAAAAAUAUAUUAUUUGGGCUUUUCUUUUAUUUUAUUUGGGUCAAACUAGUCAGUUAAUUUGUAUGAACUAUAAUAAAUUAAUUGGGUCUGACUUAUAUUUAUGUAAAUUUAAAUCCUAUUAAAAUUAAGAGAAAUAAUAUGAUAUAGUAAUAAAGAGGUAAAACCUAAACUAAAGCGUUAGUUUGAUACAAACUGAAAGAAGAGGAAGAAGUGGGUGGCGGGGCGGAGUGUAUGUGAUCGAUCGUGAAGGAAAUCUUGGAGGGGAAAGUUGGGUCCUGUAAUCAAGAAAAGAGUAAUUUAUAUCUCUUUAACUUUCAGAAGGGAAAAAGGUACUGUUAGAUAUGAAGGACAAAAAUGAAGUUUAUAAAUUAUAAAGUAAUAUUGUUCCUCCCGUAAGAAUUAAGCAUAAAAUGAAAAGUAACUUCAGAAUCUACCUAAUGGAAUGGGUAAAGUCAAUAGCCUGUAAACAGAAAUUGGGGCAGUGAACUAUAAGCCUUAAUGUAUAUUUAAAUAAUAAAAUAUAUAUUUAUGGGGGUGGAUGAAUUUAACAAAAUAAUAAAAUAUAUAUUUAUGGGGGUGGAUGAAUUUAACGUUUGGCAGGGGAAGAUUAUAUUAAUUAAUGUUAUUAGUAUAUCAGUAUGUUAUUAUAGUAUAUAAAUAGAAAGGCUAUAAUAGUCAGGAAGUCAUAUGUAUAAAUAUAUAAUUAUUAUUAUUAUUAUUUAAAAUUCAAAUUCUAGUUCUGAUACUAUACAACAAGCAUACAUUAGCCUUUGUAAAUAUCUUGGUAAUAUAGAUCUUGAUGGGUAUAUGUUUUAAAUUAUUUAAAAAUAAAGUAAAGAGUAAUUUAAUAAAUGGGGUUAUAACAUGGUUCACCAAAAGAAAAAUAAAUAAUAACAAAUAGACAUGAUUGGGAAAUUUCAUUAAAGGUCAUAUUGUUUUAAAAAUUUGCAUAAUAUUAUAAUAAAUAUAAUCAUUAUAAAAUAAGAUUAUAAAACCUGUUAAAAAUGAGUGCAAUAUUUUGUAAUUGUACUUAUACUUUUAUUAUAUUGUUUAAUUAGUUUGAAAGGAGGGAGUUUAAACGAGUCAAAUUUGGAAUAUAAAUAUUUGGGUAUUACAUUGCUUAUUCUAGGCACGGAUUCCGUACUUUUUCAACGAGAUUCUUUUAAUUUUAAUUCGUUUGUCUUGUUACUCGUUUAGAAAUUUGGUAUUGACUCUCAUGAUUAUUAUUUGUCAAAUUUAUUGGGAUAGUUUCGUUUUGACGUUGAUAUUAGAACUCGUAUUUGUAUUCUUUGAACCUUAUCUGGUUUGUAUCCUUCUUCGUAUAUUUUUCCUUCACAUUCGGAGUUAUCUUGAUCGUUGGUAUCUUGUGAUGGUAAGGUAUGUUCGUAUUUGAAAGAAUUUUAUAUCAUUUGAAGAUUGUCAUGUAAGCCUUGUGAUUUGAACCCCCUUUUGGCUUACAUUUUGUAGUUUGAUUCUUAGGGUAUAUUUGAGCUAACCACCUGUGGGAGUAUCACAGACAUGUCCUCUUGACACAAAGACAUGACACUUUCCGUGGCGGUACGAUCAGUACACGGCGUACCCUUUUGUUUUGUGUGUUGCUCUAGUGUGAGCUUUGGCCAUUUGAUUUGUUUGUUCAUGAUACGUAUGUGUCGAUUCAGUAUUUGAUUUGAUUGUUUAGCGGAUUAGUGAAGUAUUUUGUCGUGCGUACUAUUCCAUUUGAUUUGUAUACAUCAUGAUACCGAUGUAUUUUGUUAGCCUUUGGCUAUUUGUAUUUAAGCUCAGUAUGAAAUUGUCACCUUACAACCAUUUGAUUCAGCCUUAUUUGUUUAGGAUUUUUUUGGCUAUAAUUAUUCGUUUGAUAGUAUUAAUCAUUUGUAAAUGGUCUCACUAAUUCUGAUAUAUUCGUAAUUCAUUUGUAAUUCACAUGUGUUCAUUCAUUCGACUCUUUUAGAUGCAUUAUAUAUUGUGAUAUAUUUGUUCAUUUUUAUAUUCGUUCUGGGCAAUUGGCUCACGAUGUGUUUUUUUUGUUUGCAGGUAAUCAGGGGUGAUCAAGAUUUGUGGCAUGAGAGCUACCUUUGAUCCAAAUGAGUAGAUUAGCUUUUUAGAUUAUUAUUAGACUUGGUUUUCCGAAUAUUUUGUAGAUGAGUGUUUGAGCCAUUUUGGCAUUUAUUUUUAAAAGUAGAGACUAUGUAAAUGUGGAGUUCCUUCUAUUUAAAUUGGAGUAUGUGACAAUUGGUGUUCAAUUUCAUUGGAGAUAUUUUGAGGUUUAUUAGAUGUUUGUAUUUAUUAUAUUUGUGCGUGACAUCCCUUUCCCUUUGAAAAAGGGGGUGUUACAGAGACCUUUCGCCUAUGCCCUCAGCCCUCUGACCUCUGCACUCUUGCCUCUUCUCUAAUUCCUCAGGCAGCCUCUCUUGUCUCCUCUUAAAAUAAUUAGGGCAUUUAGGGACUAUUACUAUCACCCUCUCAUCCUCUUCGAUUUGGGAUGUUUAAAAUUUGGGAUUAGUGCUGCGACACCGGAGGAAAAAAGAAUUCAAAUGCAACAAAGUGAUAUCCCUACUACCAGUGGCGAUAUAUCGCUACUAUCAAUAGCGAUAUACAAGGCUUUAUCUCUAUUCCUAGAAGCGAUAUUAAGUUUUUUUUGGGUUAGACACAAAACAAUUGAACAAAGAGUGGUACUGAACGAGAAAGGGAAUAAUAUGGCCAAGGCAAAACUAAAAAUAAUCCCUCGUUAUGCAUCAGUUCUCCUUCGUUGCAAACAACUCCGCAGAGUUAAACACGAUGAUUCAUGUCUAAUCACCUACCAAUUCUUCACGAUCUUUAAAAUUGGCAUGUCAAUAACACAAGUAAGAGUGUAUUUGGUGUUACAUUUAAUAAUCAAAGUAUUAGCACUGGUAUCAUGUUGUACGUGACUAUCCCAUAACCAUAUGCAUCCUAAGAUAAUGUGUCAAAUACUGAAGGGCAAAACAUCACAAAUAACAGUAUCUCGAAACUUACCAAUGGAAAAUGUGACCAAACAUAUCUGGUAAUCCACAGUAUUAAUAAUCCAUGCAACAUAGCUCCAGAAGGGUCUCCACCUCUAAUCCAAUUUUCUUAGCGGCUUACUCAUAAAUAACAUCAGAGCAGCAUCCAAUAUCCAUCACAAGAGCAUACUUAUCCUGGACAUUUGACCCUUGUCUAUAAAAUAUGCCCGCGAUGAAUUUUAGAAUCAUCCUUCCAUUUUUAAGUAAUAUGUAAAGGUCGAAGAACACCUAGACAUUAGUCCAAAUGAGCAUUAGUAUCCAAAUUCUAUUCAUCGGGCACAUAUUCAACAUCUGUAGGAUUGCAUACUUCUUCGUCCAAAUCGGUUUUCCCAUGUUCCUUUUCAACUAUAACAACCUGCCUAGAGGGAGGAAGAGGAAAAAUUCAUCCACAAGAAGGAUAAUCAAAAGAUAUGUACCUAAAACCAUGACAAUUAUAACACCUAGAUGUUGGCUACUAGCAUGAGAGGAACCUGGAGUGAGUGCGAUUGGGCCCGCUAGUAACUAAAGGGAUUUCUGAUGAUUUCUUAAUCGAUCUGUUUCUAAUAGAAUCCACAAAAGUACAUUCAUUUCUAGUCUGGGCUGCCAUUUAAGGCCUAAUAGAAGUUGUCCCCUUCAAAUUAUCCUCUAAUUGGGAGACAAUUUCAAUUGCAUCAUCCAAGAGCAAAUGUUUGCCUGACCUGCAAUCUCUGGAUUCAUAUUCAUGGAUAUUAACACUUCUUUAACCAUAGAAACUCGGACCGUGUAGCCAGAUUAUAGAAUGCUACAUAUUUAAUUCCUUGCACCAACUCAAUGAACUUAAGAUAUGCUUCAUGUUUAUAAUCUGAAGGCACAAAACAUAUGGUCAUUGCAGCUUUCAUGUCUUCCUAUCUUUUUGCAGCUGCAUAUGAAAUUCGAUGAUGUCGAUCCCACUAAAUUCGAGCCACUCCUAUUAAUUUCGCUUCAGGAAAUAAAAGUUUUCUCUCAUUAAUUAGCUCAUACCAACGAAAAAAGUGAACCCAAUUAAAGAAUGCAUCAGGGCCAUGAUCGCCAUUAAAUCUCCAACAUCACUAAUUUAUGGAUUAGGACGAUUUAUGGAUUAGGACGUUGUUGCUGUAGAGGCACCAUAUUAUUAGGAGGUUGACCUUCCAAUUGUUUAUGAGCAGCUUCUUUUCCUUUAUUUGUGCGCUCGUACAUCAACUUUUGCUAAAAGUGUUGUAAUGAAUGCUUGAACAUUUUUUGUGAGCAUUGUGACAGAAUCUUCAAUUCUUUUAAGAUGCUCAUCUUAUUGUAGCAUAUAAGCAUUCCAUCAACUUGUGCAUUGACUUAACUAACAUUUACAUGAUUCCUGCAAAUAAAAUGAGAUCUUUUUCCCACUACCCUUUUUUUUGGCAGACUAAGGGCUUAACUGAUAGAAAAUAAUUAACAUGGACUAAAUAUAUAAAACUCAGGAGCUAUGGAUGCUUACUGAAGGGGACGACAAGACAAGAAUCAAGAAUUUUUAUUAUUAUUAUUUAUUUCAUGAAAGUCUUGAUAUGUUUAAUUUGGAGAAAAUUGAUGUAAUUAUUUAUAUAUUUAUUAGUGGGGAUUUAGGAUAUUUAAUAUUGAUUCGGAUUAUUUUAGUCAUUUGUUAUUUUAUGCUUUUCCAAGUAAUAUUAGGAUUUUGAGUAUCUGUAAAUAUCAAUGUAAUCCCCACAAAUUAAUUACAGAAUAGAUUAUUAAAGUAUUGAUUAUUGAAUGAAGCUAUGAGCUAUUUUUCUCUCUUCUACAACUGAAAACCCCUAGGAUAAUGGUAUACGGAGCAUCAACCAAGUAAAAGAUCAUCGGGUAGUGAGGUGCAAAGCCUCACCCUAGUUAAUUUUCCUUUGUUUCACAAUUAUUUCCAACAAUUGUUCUUCUUCAAUCUUGUCCUACAUCACUUACCUAUGGAUCUGUUUGGUUGUCAUUCGACGUUAAGCUGGGUUUGGGGAAAAAAACAGCAGUGGCACAAAUCUUCUGGGACUCCAAGUCGAGAACAAAGAAGAGAUUUUUUAUAUUUAUUAUUUGGAGUUUUUAUUAUGUUUAAUAUAAAAGUAGUUGAUGUGAUAUAUGUAUUUUAUUCAUUAGUGGGGAUUUAAGACAUUAAUUAGUUAUUAGGAAUUAUUAAUAAGGGUAUUUUAGUUGUUUAAUAUUUUAUUAUUCCCCAAGUAAUAUUAGGGUUCGACUCUCUUUAAAUAGUGAUGUAAUCCUCACAAGUCUUGUAGACUACAUAAUAUUGAUAUUGAAAUUGAUUAUUUUAUUCAUACCGUAGAGGUAUCCUAACGUGGAGGUAUUUAUCCAUUUUGGUGUUGAUACGUGGAGUUGAUACACUUGAAAGAUCCUAAUGGUUUAAUCGUGGAGUUUAAAUUCUAGUUUAUUUUCUAUUAAUUAUUCACCCUAGAUUUGUCCUGCAUAAUGUACCUGUAUUAAAUUGGUCAUGUAUUUAAUGUUGCCGAUCUUACUCCAUAUCAUGGACCUUCUAGACCGUCGACCCCAUCACCUGCUUCUUCAUAUACUAACCUUGUUAGUAUGUAUUUGUUCCUCCUCUUUACCUAGUCCACCUACACCUCCUCUUGUUUCUUUACAGUCUACAGUAGAUGGUAUCGAGGAUGUAUUGGAUGAGAAGUUUGUAUCGACUAGGCGCGGGGGAUAUCGCCAAUUUUUGAUUAAGUGGCGUGGCAAGCCUAACAGUGAUUGUAUGUGGAUUGGUAGGGACGAGUUUCAUUGUAUUGAUCCUACAUUGUCGGAGCGUUACAAAGAUUUCAUUUUGACAGAGCCGAAUUUUUCCCAGCCAGGGAGAAAUGAUGGGGAUCGAUGAUAUAAUUUCCUUAUUUAUUUAUUUUGGUUAUUUCAUUAUUAUGGGCUUGUUUUAAUUAAUUUAGGAGUAUUUUUGUCUUUUAUUAUUUUAUUGAUCUCCAAGUCUAAUUUAGGGUUGUUUUUUGUUUAAAUACCGAUGUAAUCUUUACACGGAGUACAUUCUGAUUUUAUUGAGAUUAUUAUUGUUUUCUUUAUAUCGUAGAGAUAUCUAACUAGAGUUAGACGCCGAGUUGAAACCCUAAACCUUAGAAUUUAAGCGCAGAGCUUAGAUCCUAGUUCUAUUUAUCUAUCAAUCAAUAACAAAAUUCAAUUUACAAAUUGUCCUACAUCACUUAUUUUCUUCUCCUAGUCGUGUUCUGACAAUCGACGACUGGGAUUUACGAUAGGUUAUUUCCUUUGGAUGGCAGGCUGCGACUUAGUGUUUGUCCGAAGGUUGAUGUGUCGCAACAGCUAUUCUCCACUGCUCUCUUCUUCCCUUUUCUUUGGAAAUGGCUGUUGUGGUAGGUUGUGAUGGGUUGUGAUGGUUAGGACUAGGUUAGGGUUUGUUUUGAUUUAAGGUUGUGCUUAGCAGUUGGCUAAAAAAUUGGGCUUUGGUGUUUAUGGCUAGGCAAUGAUGGUUUGACAAUAAUUUUGGGGUAGAUGAUCUAGAGAUGAGGCAGUGGCAAGUUUUAGGGUUAGAGUUUGGCAGCUGAAGGUGUUUAGGAACCGGACUUUAGUACCAAAUAAUGGGGACGAUGGGUUUUGGGGACACAAGUUCAUCUCACACAACACUCAUUUAUUCUCAAUCUCAAUUAAUAGUUAUAAUGCAAUGAUCAAACUAAUAGAGUACAUCCCUAUUUAUAAUAUUUCUAGCCAACUUUUCUAACUCAAAUUGACUUCAAAUAAAUAACUUCUAAAAUUAUUAAUAAAGUAAAUUACAGAAAUACAACUUCUAAAAUUUUAUUUUCAUAGGCUUCCAAAGCUUUUUAUAUUGCUCCAACCAAAUCUCGCUGACAUGUCUUGCUUCAGCUAGCAAACUAAUAAUAUAAUUAGAAAUAUUAUAUAUAAUCACAACAAUGUAAAAAGAAGAGAAAAAUUCAUAUACACUUUAUACAUAUAUACAUAUAUGGAUAAUGAUCCAUAUCCAAAAUUGGAUAGGAGCCCUUGUUAUACAACUCAUCUCUAACCGUUUAAAAAAAGAUCAAAUAACCUAAAAUUUACCUCGUCCGCACCAUUAUGCAGAUGGGAACCCAAAAAUUAUAUCCCAACCGCACAAUUAUUGUGAGGAUGGGAUAUCUUAUCCGCGCAACUGUUGUGCGGAUAGGGUCCACCAUUAGCAUAAUUGUUACGCGGAUGAAAUAAUUACAAAGUUUGGAUCACAAAAAUGAAUGGUGAGAUCUGCAGUGAAUGGAUGAGGCUCUCAUUCAACUUUGACUAUGGAUCACUCCCUUAUAUAUAUAAUAUAUAUAUAUAUAUACACACACGCACAUAUAUCAAGAGAUGUUCUUUCCAAUAAUGGUUCAUACUUCAUAGUGUGCCAAUCAACAAU